AAGAGUCUUACAUGGGUAGUUAUAAAUUUUUCAAGUAUCAAAUUCCUUCCCAAAAAAAACAUUUUUUCUAUCUCUCUAUACGCUCUUCUUCCUCUCUCUCACCCUUUCUCUGUAUUUCCCUCCAUAUAAAUUUUGUCCUAUCUGCAAAAGCACUUGUAGCAAGACUUCACAAUUUUUGACCAGCAAAGUUCCAAACCAAGUCCAAAGGUUCACCUUUCAGGGUCAUCAAAGUUGUUGGUCAACAUACUGUACUCAUGGGUCUAUUUGUUGGGAACUGGAUUGCUUGAAGGGAUGAAACGGCAGUGGCAACAGAAUGGUGGGAGGUGAAUGUGGUGACAGAUUACAUUCUAAAGGUUUUGGGAUUGGACGUCUGUGCAGAUACCUUAGUUGGGAAUCAAAUGUUAAGGGGAAAAUCUGGAGGGCAAAGGAAACGAGUUACAACUGAUUGUAUACCAGGGUUCUAGUGAACAAGUGCUUGAAUUUUUUGAAUCAAUGGGCUUUAAAUGUCCUGAGAGGAAAGGGGUGGCAGACUUCCUGCAAGAAGUGACUUCAAGGAAAGAUAAGGAGCAGUACUGGGCACAAAAAGACGAGCCCUACAAUUUUGUAAUAGUCAAGAAAUUUGCUGAGGCAUUCCAAUCUUUCCAUGUGGGACGGAAACUCGGAGAUGAACUUGCAACUCUGUUGGACAAGGCUAAAAGCCAUCCGGCUGCUUUGACAACAAGAAAGUGUGGUGUCAAAAAGGCAGAACUGGUGAAAGCUUGCUUGUCAAGAGAAUUCUUGCUCAUGAAUAGGAAUUCGUUUGUCUACAUCUUCAAGUUCAUUCAACUUACAAUAAUGGCAAUGAUUGUUAUGACAACUUUCCUACGGACUGAUAUGCACCGAAAUUUAGUAACUGAUAUUCAUGACCGUUGCAAACCUUCCUGUUUUCUUGAAGCAAAGGAAGCUCAAUAAAUUAAGAUGCAAUCUUUGUAACAUUAAAUGCGGAAAGCGUCUUCAUUGCCCAAUUAAGAUCUCAAAAGUGGGUUUGGAUUUUGGGUUUUGGUAGUGUUAACUUCUUUGCUUAAUAUGUUUUUGCUUA